ensembl:lncRNA
GUCUCUCAGGUGUCCUGUUGUGCUGUGUGGGCUUCCUCCAUUCAUCAGUGAAUGUCCAUUUAGUUGUAGUUCAAAGGGAGGAGAGACAAAGUGAACAGCUCACUCUGCCAUGUUGCCAUGUUGCUGAUGUCCUUCAAGUGGAGAUUUAAGGAGAAACUUAAGGCAGCUCAAGAAAGCUGAUGGUGACCACUAAUAGUUUAUGAGAAUUGUUCAACUAGAACCCUGGGCUUGAAGAACUCACUUUAGCAAUUCUUUCAAGGCCAGUCUAGUGUUGAUGAACUACCUCAGGUUUUGUUUCUCUGGGAAAGUCUUCAUUGCCUUUCUAUUUCUCAAGGACAGCUUUGCCAGAUGGAAAAACAUCUUUUGUUUGUCUGGGGAAGAAUUUAUCUCUCCUCAUUUCUGAGCAACAGCUUUUCUGGGUAAAGUAUUACUGGUUUCAGAUUUUUUUACAGCAUGUUGAAUAUAUUGUCACACUCUUCCCUGGACUGCAAGGUUUCUGGUGAGAAAUCCACAACUAUCCCUAUGCAGGUUUCUUUCUAUGAGAUGUUCUCCUUUCUCCUGUUGCCUUCAGAAUUCUCCUUUUGUCUUUGAUUUUUGAUAGUUUGACUAUAAUAUGUCUGAGUGAAGUCCUCUUUGGGCCAAACCUGUUUGGGACUUUUAAGUUUUGCAUACCUGGAUGCCCAUAGUUCUUUCCCUAAUGGUAGAUUUUCAGCCAUUGUUCCUUUUGAAAAACUUUCUUUCCCUUUCUCUCUCUCUUCCCCUUCUGAGAUUUCCACAAUGUGUAUAUUACUUUUUUAAGGAAGACCCCACAAUCUCAUAGGCUUUCUUCAUGUCUUUAUUCUUUUUUUUCUUUUUUAUUAUUUGACUGUAAAAUUUGAAAUGACCUAUCAUCAAGUUCACAGAUUUUUUUUGUCUGCUUGUUUAAUACAGUUGAUGAUUUUCAUUGAAUUUUUCAUUUUAUUCAUUGAAUUCUUCAACUCCAGAAUUUAUGUUUAUGUUUUAAAUAAUUUCCAACUCUUUAUUUCCUCAGCCAUAUUGAGGUACAAUGGACAAGUAAAAUUGCAAAUAUUUAAGGUGUACAACAUGACGACUUGUUAUAUUUUUAUAUUGUGAAAAUAUUACCACUAUGAAAUUAACAUAUCCAUCACCUGUCUCCAUUAAGUGUGAGAACAAUUAAGAUUUACUAUCUUAGCAAAUUUAAAAUACACCAUACAGUAUUAUUAACUAAAGUUACCAUGCUAUACAUUAGAUCUGCGGAACUUAUUCAUCUUAUAACUGAAAGUUUGUACUUUAGAAAAACAUGUCCCUAUUUACUCCAUUCAACAGCCCUGAGAAAACAUCAUUCUCCCAUUUCUGUGUGUUUCACAUUUUUUUGAUUUCACAUAUGUGACAUCAUACAGCACUUCUUUUUCUUGGUCUGGCUUAUUUUACUUAGCAUUGUGCCCUCCAGAUUCAUCCAUGUUUUUGCAAAAGGCAUGUUAUUCUAUGGUGUGUGUGUGUGUGUGUAAGUGUAUAUAUAUAUAUACUUUAUAUUUUCUUUAUCUAUUCAUCCAUCAAGGGACAAUUAGGGAGUUUCCAGAUAUGGCUAUUUUGAAUUAUGCUUCAAUGAACAUGGGAUAGCAGAUAUCUCUUCAGGAUACUGAUUUCAUUUCCUAUGAAUAUAUACCAGGUAGUGGGAUUACUGGUGGAUAUAUUUUAAAUUUGUCUAGGAAAUUCCAUACUGCGUUCCAUAAUAGCUGUACCAUUUUACAUUUCCACCAGGAAUGUAUGACAAUUUCCUUUUCUCAACAUCCUUACCAACACUUCUUAUUUUUUAAUGUUUUUGAUAAUAGUCAUCCUAAGAGGUGUGAGGUAAUAUCUUAUUGUGCUUUUGAUAUGCAUUACCCUAGUAAUUAUUGAUGUUGAGAAUCUGUUCAUGUGCUUGUUGGACAUUUGUAUGUUUCUUUGGGAUAAUGUCUAUUCAGGUCCUUUGCUAAUUUUCUUUUCUUUUUAUUUUUUGGUGAGGGAGAUUGUCCCUGGGCCAACAUCUGUGCCAAUCUUCCGCUAUUUUUUAUGUGGGACACUGCCAAAGCAUGGCUUGAUGAGUGAUGCAUAGGUCCACACCUGAGACACAAACCUGUAAACACUGGGCUUCUGAAGCAGAGCAUGUGAACUUACCCACUACACCACCGUGCUGGCCCCCCUUUGCUCAUUUUUUGAUUGGGUUGUUUGUUUUUUUCUAUUGAAUUGUAUGAUUUUUAUAUUUGAAUAUUAACUUUUCAUCAGAUAUAUGAUUUGCAAAUAUUUUACCCUAACCCAUAGGUUUCCUUUCCAUUUUUGUCAUUUUUUCCUUUUCUGUGCAAAGAAAAUUAGUUUCAUGCAGUCCCAUUUGUAUAUUUUUGUGUUUGUUGCCUGUGAUGUUGGUGUUAUAUCCAGGAAAACAUCAAGACCAAUGUCAAGGAAAAUUUUCCCUAUUUUAUAAUAGAUUUAUGGUUUCAGGUCUUAUGUGAAGGAGACCUGGCAUGAAAUGUGGUUGUGCUUGCACGCGAGGCAUCCACAAGACUGGCUGGACUUUUCUGCAAACAGAAUGUUCUGCCUGGUGAACUCACAAGGCCCCAGGGAAAACAUUGCUUGCAAACAAGGAUGUUUUAUCAGUUCCUCAAAAGGAACAAGCCUGGGGCCUUGGGAGUUUGAAACAUUAUGAAGGAACCUGUUAUAAACAGAUGUGUAAGGGAAAGGUCAUUAUUGUGGGAUGCUUGCACAGGCUUAGGUGGCUGACUCACUGCUUUGGCAAAAGGCCGGCUUUGUUUAGAGGCUAUAAGAAUAAAGAGCUCGAGGAACUCGAGGAGACUACACAGCAACCAGUGUUCGUGUUUUCAUUUUGUUGGCGGCAUCUGGCACCCAACGUGGGGCCCAACGAAACUGAAAGAGUAAGCACCCUGGAAAAGUGAAAGGGGGACUUUCAGGAAUAGGUAAAUCUCGAUGCAGGGCUCGACGAGACCGAAAGGUUGUUCUACAUCGCUCCCGUCGACUAGUGGGAUUGAUCAUCGCGACUAUCCUUGCGGUUGCAUCCGUUACUGUGAUGGCGGCAUCUGGCACCCAACGUGGGGCCCAACGAAACUGAAAGGUCUUCCGGCGCUGGAGAAAGCAACAACAACUAAAAAGGAUCGUUAAGACCGUUGCGCAUGCUGUCCGUCACAAUGCUAACAAAAGAGGGGGAGAUGAAGGAGACCUGGCAUGAAAUGUGGUUGUGCUUGCACGCGAGGCAUCCACAAGACUGGCUGGACUUUUCUGCAAACAGAAUGUUCUGCCUGGUGAACUCACAAGGCCCCAGGGAAAACAUUGCUUGCAAACAAGGAUGUUUUAUCAGUUCCUCAAAAGGAACAAGCCUGGGGCCUUGGGAGUUUGAAACAUUAUGAAGGAACCUGUUAUAAACAGAUGUGUAAGGGAAAGGUCAUUAUUGUGGGAUGCUUGCACAGGCUUAGGUGGCUGACUCACUGCUUUGGCAAAAGGCUGGCUUUGUUUAGAGGCUAUAAGAAUAAAGAGCUCGAGGAACUCGAGGAGACUACACAGCAACCAAUGUUCGUGUUUUCAUUUUGUCGGCAGCACUUAUGUUUAACUUUUUAAUGUUUUGAGCUAAUUUUUUUUGGGGGGGUGAGGAAGAUCAGCCCUGAGCUAACGUGUUGUUCAUCUUCCUAUUAUUGCUUGAGGAAGAUUGUUGCUGAGCUAACAUCUGUGCCAAUCUUCCUCUAUUUUGUAUGUGAGAUGCUGCCACAGCAUGGCCAGAUGAGCAGUAUUUAUAUCCAUGCCUUGGAUCCAAACCAAUGAACCCCAGGCCACUGAAGUGGAGCACAUGAACUUAAACCACUAUGCCACAUGGCCAGCCCCUUGAGCUAAUUUUUUGAGUGCUGUAAUAUAAGAAACAAAUUUCUUUAGCAUGUGGCUAUCCAAUUUUCCCAGCACUAUUUAUUGAAGUGUGAAGGAAGGAUCUUUUACCUCUUGUGUAUUCUUGGCAUUUUUGCUGGAAUUUAGUUCACUAUAUAUGCCUGAAAUUAUCUCUAGGCUUUCUAUUCUGUCACAUAGGUUUAUAUGUUCAGUUUAAUGCCAUUACCUUACUAUUUUGAUCAUUAUACUUUUGUAGUAUAGUUUGAAUUCAGGAAGUGUGUUGCCUCCAGCUUUAUUAUUUAUGAAUAUUACUUUGGCUAUUCAAGGUCUUUUGUGAUUCUAUAAGAAAUUUAGAAUAUUUUUAAAUUUCUGUGAAAGAUGCCAUUGAAUUUCUUUUUAUAUUUUUAUUGAGGUUAUGAUAGUAUACAACAUUGUGAAAUUUCAGUUGUACAUUAUUAUUUGUCAUUCAUCUUAGAGGUGUUCCCUUCACCUUUUGUGUCCACACCCCAACCCCCUUCUCCAUGGAAACUACUAAUCUGUCUCUUUGACCAUGUGUUUAUCAUCCACAUAUGAGUGGAAUCAUACAGAGCUUGUCUUUCUCCAUCUGGCUUAUUUUGCUUAUAAUACCCUCAAGGUCCAUUCCUGUUGUUGUGAAUGGGACAAUUUUAUCAUUUUUCAUGGCUGAGUAGUAUUCCACUGUAUAUAUAUACCAUAUCUUCUUUAUCCAGUCAUCAGUUUAUGGGCUUAGGUUGCCUGCAGGUCUUGGCUAUUGUGAAUAAUGCUGCAAUGAACACAGGGGUACAUGAGUCUUUUUGAAAUGCUGAUUUGAAGUUCUUUGCAUAGAUAUCCAGUAGUGAGAUGGCUGGGUCAUAUAGUAUUUCUAUUUUUAAUUUUUUGAGAAAUCUCCAUACUGUUUUCAAUAGUGGUUCCACCAGUUUGCAUUCCUACCAGCAGUGUAUGAGGAUUCCUUUCCUCCACAAACUCUCCAAUAUUUGCUAUUUUUUGUCUUCAUUAUUGUAGCCAUUCUAACAGGUGUAAAGUGAUAUCUUAGUGUAGUUUUGAUUUGCAUUUCCCUGAUAAUCAGUGAUGAUGAGCAUCUUUUCAUGUGCCUAUUGGCCAUCCAUAUAUCUUCUUUGGAGAAAUGUCUAUUCAUAUCACCUUCCCAUUUUUUUGGAUUGGGUUGUUUGAUUUUUGUUGUUGAGUUGUGUGAGUUCUUUAUAUAUUAUGGAGAUUAACCCUUUGUCAAAUAGAUGAUUUGAAAAUAUUUUUCCCAGUUGGUGGGUUGUCUUUUCAUUUCAAUCCUAUUUUCCUUUGCCUUGUAGAAGCUUUUUAGUCUAAUGAAGUCACACUUGUUUAUUCUUUCUAUUGUUUCCCCUGUCUAAGGAGACAUGGUGUCUGAAAAGAUCCUUUUAAGACUGAUGUCAAAGAGUAUAUUGCCUAUGUUUUCUUCUAGAAGUCUUAUGGUUUAAGGUAUUACCUUUAAGUCUUUGAUCCAUUUUGAGUUUGUUUUUUUGAAUGGCAUAAGAGAAUGGUCUACUUUCAUUCUUUACAUGUGGCUGUCCAGUUUUCCCAACAUCAUUUGUUGAAGAGACUUUUCUUUCUCCAUAGUAUGUUCUCAGCUCCUUUGUUCCCCUUUAAUCCUUUAAUGCUUCCUCUCUGGUAACCACUAAUCUAUUCUCUUUGUCCAUCUUAUAGUUUCUCUUCUACACAUGAGUGAAAUCAUAUGGUGUUUGUCUUUCUUUGUCUGGCUUAUUUUGCUUGACAUAAUAUUUUCAAGGUCUGUCCAUGUUGUUGUGAAUGAGACAAUUUUGUCUUUUUUAUGGCUGAGUAGUAUUCCAUUAUAUAUAUAUAUGUAUAUAUAUAUACACACACACACACAUCUUCGUUAUCCAUUUUUCAGUGAAUGGGCACUUGGGUUGCUUCCACAUCUUGGUUAUUUUGAGUAAUGCUGCAAUGAAGAUAGGGGUGUAAAAGUCUCUCUGAUUGAUUUAGAGUUCUUUGGAUAAAUACCCAGUAGGGGGCUAGCUGGGUCAUAUGGUAUUUCUAUUUUUAACUUUUUGAGAAAUCUCUGUACUGUUUUCCAUAAUGGCUGGACCAGUUUGCAUUCUCACCAGCAGUGUUUGAGGGUUCUCUUUUCUCCACAUCCUCUCCAACAUUUGUUAUUUUUUUCUUGGUGAUUAUAGCCAUUUUAAGGGUUGUAAGGUGAGAUCUCAGGGUAGUUUUGAUUUGCAUUUCCCUGAUGGUUAGUGAUGUUGAACAUUUUUUCAUGUGGCUAUUGGCCAUUUGUAUAUCUUCUUUGGAAAAUAUCUGUUCAUAUCCUCUGC